GUGUACUAUUCUAAGAGGGUCUGGUAAUCCCCAUGAUUAAAGCAACAUAAGAUUUAUAUUUACUGUGGAGAAACAUGAUCUUCCUGGCCACUAUGAAUCACUCUGGAAACAUCCUAUCUCUGUUUUCCAAUUACUCAGAUCAUUACUAGAUCAAACUCAGAUCAGUUUAACAAACAUGAAGCAUCUUUUCUUGGUCUCACAAAGCUCACUAAUUUAGAAAAGGCAAGCAUAUAAAAUAUAAUUAUACAGUAUGAUAACUACAAUAAUAUCUUUUAACUGCAAGAUUUAGAAGAGGGAGUGAUUAACUUCAGCAUUGGGAUGGGCUUGGAGAAGGCCUUACAGAAGUAAUGUUCAAGCUGAGUUGUGAAGGAUGAUAGAGUUAACCAAAAAUCAGGAAAGGAUUAUCCCUGAGAAAGAAAAGUUGUGCAUAUGUACUGCAAAUGACUUGUCACAGUUGCCAAGUGUGAAAGCACUGUAAUGAGACAAGUUUGGAAGAUGUGGGUAUUCAUUGAGGGCAUUGGAUACCAUGUUAUAGGGUUGAAUAUGAAACCUGUGUAUGUUGAAGGGCUCCUCUUUUAUGGCGAGGAGUGGUGUGAUCUUUCUGAAUGCAAAUCUGAUAGCUUUAUGACAAUGGUGAGAAAGUAUGGAAGGAGGAAGAAAUUGGAGGACUGAGUUAAGGUAGCAGAAAGUACACCUGGAAUGGGUGUCUUUGAG
rnacentral:lncRNA from 1 species